CAUGUCAUCUCAUCUUCUUAUUGUUCAUUUCUUUUCAUACAAAACAUUCUGUGCUUUUACUUACUUGUGUACUUUCAAGUGCCGGCCUUACAUACAGAGCCUGCUUGGGUUGUCUCACCAACACAAGGAGGGACACCUCUGCAGUGCCCGCCUUGCUCUUCAGGUGUUGCAUCAGCCCUGGAAGCCAUUCAGAGCCUCCCCAGCUGUUCCCUGCUCAGUCUGCUUGUGUUGGGGCCACAGUGUAACCACAAACAAAUGAAGUAUGAAAGACUUUCCAGGACCUUUAUUUAGAUUUACUCAGGCAUAAACAGUGAUGUAAAUUCAGCUGGGUUCCGGGUCAGGUAAUGCCGGUCACUUCAAGUUCAAGUCAAGCAUCAGAGGAUGUACUCUUGCUGCUCUGCUGUGAGCACACCGCAGGGUGCUGCUUCAUCAAAUGACGGCAGAGCCCAGGAAGGAGGAGAACUCUGCACCCGUGUGAAGGUACCUGGACACCAGAAGAGAAGCAAAACCCCAGUCAUGCUCCUGAUUUCCAGCGGUGUGGCGGCUGCUGUUCCAGGUCCAGCAGCAGCAGAGGAGCAGCCCUCUGGUGGCUUCAGCAGCACCCUCGCUCACGGGGCUGCAGGUGGGACCAUGUCUGGCUGGAGAAAGCUGGGCACGAGGGUGGGGUGGUCCUGUGGGUGGGGGGUGACCCUGCACUGCUGCCCACCGACGUGCUCCUCUCACCUGGCAGGGUGUGCAGGGCAGGCAGGGCUGACCGCAUCGCCUUAUUUUCUCACCCUGAAAUGAAACAGGGUAAAAAGUAAAAAAUGGAGCAGGAAUUUCAGAGUGUACCCAUCUCUUUGCUGCUGAGUGAUGAUGUGUGCAUAUAUGUGUUUUGGUGUUGUUAUUGUUGUUUCUGAAGGAGAAUAAAGGAGAAUUUGGAAUCA
rnacentral:lncRNA from 1 species